rnacentral:rRNA from 1 species
UACGAAGGGGGCUAGCGUUGUUCGGAAUCACUGGGCGUAAAGGGCGCGUAGGCGGCCGAUCAAGUCGAGGGUGAAAGCCUGUGGCUUAACCACAGAAUGGCCUUCGAUACUGUUUGGCUUGAGACCGGAAGAGGUUAGUGGAACUGCGAGUGUAGAGGUGAAAUUCGUAGAUAUUCGCAAGAACACCAGUGGCGAAGGCGGCUGACUGGUCCGGUUCUGACGCUGAGGCGCGAAAGCGUGGGGAGCAAACAGG